UACGUAGGGUGCAAGCGUUGUCCGGAAUUAUUGGGCGUAAAGAGCUCGUAGGUGGUUUGUCGCGUUGUUCGUGAAAUCUCACGGCUUAACUGUGAGCGUGCGGGCGAUACGGGCAGACUGGAGUACUGCAGGGGAGACUGGAAUUCCUGGUGUAGCGGUGGAAUGCGCAGAUAUCAGGAGGAACACCGGUGGCGAAGGCGGGUCUCUGGGCAGUAACUGACGCUGAGGAGCGAAAGCGUGGGGAGCGAACAGG
rnacentral:rRNA from 1 species